rnacentral:ncRNA from 2 species
UAAUAGCGUUAUGCUUAAGGUUCCUUUGCAAUAGAGGAUCUAAAAGGGGAAGUCGGUGGAAAUCCGACGCGGUCCCGCCACUGUAUACAAGGAGUUCUCUUCUGAAAUCCUAUUAUCAAAUGCUAGGAUGGGUUGAGAACGAUGAUUUGAAGCCAGGAAACCUGCCUUAAGUAGCAUCACAAA